UUAAGUUCAGCGGGUAGUCCUACCUGAUUUGAGGUCAGAUUUCAAAGUUGAUUGACCGCCACUCCACAGGCAAAGGUCGUGGAAGGACGCCAAAGGGGGAACAUCUCUGUCGAGCGAGGAUGGUACAACGCCCAGUCGAGUUCGACCCACAGGUCCAACCGAUGCAUUUGAAGGGAGCCGCCUCACGGCAGCAAGCCCUC
rnacentral:misc_RNA from 1 species